rnacentral:rRNA from 1 species
CCCUGAAAAUGGAUGGCGCUGGAGCGUCCCACUUAUUCCGGACCGCUUGGGCAGUGUGCUUGCGAAAGCAACAAGCCAAGCUCAAGCGAGUAGGAGGGCCGCUGUGGUGAGCGUCGAAGCCUGGGACGCGAGUCUGG